UAGGGAAUCUUCGGCAAUGGACGGAAGUCUGACCGAGCAACGCCGCGUGAGUGAAGAAGGUUUUCGGAUCGUAAAGCUCUGUUGUAAGAGAAGAACGAGUGUGAGAGUGGAAAGUUCACACUGUGACGGUAUCUUACCAGAAAGGGACGGCUAACUACGUGCCAGCAGCCGCGGUAAUACGUAGGUCCCGAGCGUUGUCCGGAUUUAUUGGGCGUAAAGCGAGCGCAGGCGGUUAGAUAAGUCUGAAGUUAAAGGCUGUGGCUUAACCAUAGUAGGCUUUGGAAACUGUUUAACUUGAGUGCAAGAGGGGAGAGUGGAAUUCCAUGUGUAGCGGUGAAAUGCGUAGAUAUAUGGAGGAACACCGGUGGCGAAAGCGGCUCUCUGGCUUGUAACUGACGCUGAGGCUCGAAAGCGUGGGGAGCAAACAGGAUUAGAUACCCUGGUAGUCCACGCUGUAAACGAUGAGUGCUAGUGUUAGACCCUUUCCGGGGUUUAGUGCCGUAGCUAACGCAUUAAGCACUCCGCCUGGGGGAGUACGACCAAU
rnacentral:rRNA from 1 species